rnacentral:rRNA from 1 species
GAUAAGCCUGGGAAACCGGGUCUAAUACCGGAUACGACACUCCUCCGCAUGGUGUGGGUGUGGAAAGUUUUUUCGGUUGGGGAUGGGCUCGCGGCCUAUCAGCUUGUUGGUGGGGUGAUGGCCUACCAAGGCGACGACGGGUAGCCGGCCUGAGAGGGCGACCGGCCACACUGGGACUGAGACACGGCCCAGACUCCUACGGGAGGCAGCAGUGGGGAAUAUUGCGCAAUGGGCGGAAGCCUGACGCAGCGACGCCGCGUGGGGGAUGACGGCCUUCGGGUUGUAAACCUCUUUCAGCAGGGACGAAGUUGACGUGUACCUGUAGAAGAAGCGCCGGCUAACUACGUGCCAGCAGCCGCGGUAAUACGUAGGGCGCGAGCGUUGUCCGGAAUUAUUGGGCGUAAAGAGCUCGUAGGUGGCUUGUUGCGUCUGCCGUGAAAGCCCGUGGCUUAACUACGGGUCUGCGGUGGAUACGGGCAGGCUAGAGGCUGGUAGGGGCAAGCGGAAUUCCUGGUGUAGCGGUGAAAUGCGCAGAUAUCAGGAGGAACACCGGUGGCGAAGGCGGCUUGCUGGGCCAGUUCUGACACUGAGGAGCGAAAGCGUGGGGAGCGAACAGGAUUAGAUACCCUGGUAGUCCACGCUGUAAACGUUGGGCGCUAGGUGUGGGGGUCUUCCACGAUUCCUGUGCCGUAGCUAACGCAUUAAGCGCCCCGCCUGGGGAGUACGGCCGCAAGGCUAAAACUCAAAGGAA